rnacentral:rRNA from 1 species
UACGUAGGGGGCAAGCGUUGUCCGGAAUUAUUGGGCGUAAAGAGCGUGUAGGCGGUCCGGUAAGUCGGCUGUGAAAGUCCAGGGCUCAACCCUGGGAUGCCGGUCGAUACUGCCGGACUAGAGGACGGUAGAGGCGUGUGGAAUUCCGGGUGUAGUGGUGAAAUGCGUAGAGAUCCGGAGGAACACCAGUGGCGAAGGCGACACGCUGGGCCGUACUUGACACUGAUGCGCGACAGCAUGGGGAGCAAACAGG